AAGUUAGUUUGUAUAUUAUGGAAUACAUGGUAGAAUUGUGACUGAAUUAAAGAAGGAAUGAAUAUCACCCAAGGAUAAAAUCCAGGGACUCGUAUGGAACUUUGGGUCUCCUCUUUUGAGGGCAGGGGUAAUGCAUUUGCACUGAGAGGACCGCUAAGUGAAAACGCACUCCUGAAACAAGAUUUGUUCUGCCGGCUUCCUUCAAUUUGUCAAAAAGACAAAAAUCUCACCAGCCUCACUUUAUAAUAAUGCCCUGAAAUUGCUUGGAAUCAUCUUCCACCUCCUUUUCUUGUUUCUAUUAUCCAGUACGUGUGGCAGGGAAGAAGAAAAUGAACACGUUUACAAUUUAAUGUUGUGCUUAUACCUCUAUUGUCAAGGCUAAUUGUUUUAAGCAAGACGUCUUAUCUUUGAUUAAAGUGAUCAGUGCCUAUGAGUGUAAAAGAAGCAACAGAAGAGCCUCACAAGUCUUUUUCAUAUUAGAGUUCCAUUCUUAACCCUUUCAUGUGCUGACAGCGAUAACUAAGACACAAGUCCUGACUUCAGCAACGAUUAUCCUUCAAAGUAGCAAGAUGAAUGGCACAUUCAUUAAUGAAAUUCUUUGAGAUUCUUCCAUGCUCUACCUGGUUAGAAAGAUAGCCAGUUUUUGGUCUUUGUUUGCAGAGAAGAAAACUGAGACCACCAAUCAAUUAAGGAUUUUUGCGUUCCCAAUCCAACUGGGUUAUCAGCAAUGUUGAAUAUUCAACAUGCCUUUUAAGUCUCCUUAAUCCCAGCACCAUCUUCAAAGCACAGAAGGCAACUCUUCAGGUUAGCCGUUUGCUCCCAACACAGACCUGAUGUCUACUGCUUACGUAUUUGAUGUUAAUAAUAGAUAAUGAGAAAGCAGAAAGAGAUUUUUAUUGUCUGCACUAAGUAGGUCAAGUAGGAAAAGAAGAAUACUACCUCAUCCUUGCCUUGGCAAUGUGACCAACAUUUUCUUCUCUCUGGAUUCUUCCUCCUCUCCUCACCUUUCAUCCCUAUCAUGGGUAGACUCAUCAUGACAGUGCUAUUGCUGGGCAGCUCAAGUUCAUUUCACCCAAGAGGAUAUCCUGGAGCUUCUCCUAUGUACCUGGCCUUUUCCAGAGCUGAUCUUCAAUCCUCAUGUCAAUCCUGAGAGCAGGUGGCAUUUCCAUUUCACAGACAAGGAAACUGAAGCUUAGUGAGCUGCCCGUGAUUCAGCUGAUAAAAGGUGAUGAGAGCUGAGCUCAGAAGUCCUGUACUUCUAAAGCACCACACCAUGCCAUUUUACUGUGGAGAAUAAAGGUUCACUUCAUGGGUGUGGAGCCCA
rnacentral:lncRNA from 1 species